GCAUGAGGAGCCAAGGAGAAAACAUGGCCGCCAGUGAGCUCUGCCAUGGCCAAGUGUAUUUAAGCAGAAGGCCUCUAACGCCACUGAGUCUUGAAGGAGCCAGGAUAUAUAUAGGCUGCUCCCUCACCUUAUAAGGCUUCGGCCAAGAGGCGGGUGGGGGCCUGUCAGACACACGGGUGGAGGUUUUGGUCGCCAGCUUGUUAAGGCUGACUCCCUCCGGACUCAGGCUUACGACCGAAAGGCUCGGUGCAGGAAAUCUCGAGGGGUAAGGACUACCACCACCACCACCACCAUCACCAUCAAUAUCGGCUCCGUGGUACCCCUGCCCCAUUGUUGUUUUGCAGCAGGUAGACAAAGGCCAGUAACUAGAGUGUCACCAUGGCGAUGAGAUCUGGGAAUUACAACCAUGAAUACUACCACAAACAGAGUAAAUAUGUGGUCAAAGAAUACAGCAGCUCUGAGUCAGUGGUGGACGACUAUCAGCAUAAAGCAGCAGUUCGCAUCCAGGGAGUGGUAAGGAUCCAAGCCUGCUGCUCUGGCUCUGUCUCUCUCUCUAUGUUUCUCUCUCUCUCUCUCUCUCUCUCUCUCUCUCUCUCUCUCUCUC
ensembl:lncRNA